UGGCAUUAGAGCUGGUCGAAGGGCCACAGAUGUGUUCUUAAAAGACUUGUGAUGCAAGUCAUCUAUCUCUUGGUCAUUUUCAAAAAAAUAUCCAGCAGAUAACCAAAGAAAUGUAACAAGAUAUUCUGGGCAAGGUUUCUCAGGGGCCUUUCUCCCCUGCAACCUCUUUCACCUCCACCUUGAGGUAUCUCAGUCCAGUUUGAACAAAAACAAUCCCUUGAGCCAGCGCUGGAUCUACUCUGGGGUCCCCUUGCAGAUAGACAUGCUUGUUAAACCUCCAAAGACCGGCAUCCCAAUCAGAUGUCUGAAACUGACACCUCGGAAGAUAAAAUAGAGGUGGCUCUACUGUGAGCUACCUCUGGAUACAUGAAACUGUAUUUAAAUACUGAACCCACCAACACCUGGAAAGACACUCAUUUUGGCUGUCUCCAUCCGUGAUCUCAUUUGGGUAGACACUACCCAACAGUCAAUGGUGAGGGUUGUAACAUGGAUCAGCUUAUAAAUGGAAAGUUUGGUCUCCUAUGUCCACAAUCAGCAAAAAUGAUGACAUAACUAAUGACGACAAUAAAAGGAUCAGCCUAUUCCUCAUCUCUACUUAAAUUCUGUUCUGGCACUGGCUUGAUGUUCAGUGCCAAAUAUUUCAGGUUUCCCAGUUGGAGCUCAGUGUUUGGAAGAGUUGGAUGUGGUGGCUGUGGGCCGACCAGCAAAUGAUAAUCUCAUCUCUUUAUCAAGUCUACUGCUUUUUCUUUUGUAGCUGCAAUGAAGCUAAAUUUAGCGUUAAUGUCCUUGACUGUAUAUAGAAUGGACGCAGUCUGUCUCCCCUCACUGGUUGAAGCCACCCCAAGAGCACACACCCUGGUGACGGGCUGCAGCAUAGGUCAUAAAUCCUGCAUCUUCCAGCAAUUUUCUAUGGAGCUGUGGACAAACUUUAGAAAUUUAUUACACAGAAUAUAAAUUUUUCUCCCCCCUGGUUGUGAUGUUGUCUUGUAGUUUCUGUAAGACUGGUUUGUGCUCAAGUCCUCUUUCUUCUGUACAGCUCCAUUUUUCAAAAGUUAUUCAGGAUUCAUGUUUUCUACAAUUAACACUUGAUACCGCCUAUGGGUGCACAAAGUUUACGCUUCAAAUCCAUAUACUGGUGGAAGGCGGAACCAAGUUGUCCAUAGUAGUACAGUCUAUGGUGCACACAACAGUUGUCAACUGUCCAUCUGAUAUCACACUGAUGACUAUGUGUAUUUUACUGUUAUUGAUAACAACCUGCAAAAUAACAGUAGUGACAAAUGAAAGCCUCACACAUAAACUAAACUGAGGACUGUACAACAAUAAAAAGCAGCUUUUUAUGUUACAUUAUGUGCUUUUUUCAACUAGUAACAAAGGAACAGAAACUGGACUCAACAAAUUAGAGUCCAAACUCUGCCAUUGUUACUCAAAACAACAACAAAUGCUCGCUAAUCAUGUCCACCUUGCCAUCUUUGUGGCCUGCAUUAAGAAGAACUAAGGCAUCAAUGUGGGAAAACUGAGGCUUGAUUGUUGCCAAGUGACAUUUUUCCAUGCCAGGGAAUCUUUAGUCACUUCAGUUAUAGUCGAGUGGUUCGUAAAGCUCCUUAUUUAGUAGUCUCAAACUGAUCAAGUGUCAUAAAAGGCCUUUAGUCAGCUUAGAACUGACCUCUAUUUUAAACUGACCUCAAUUUCAAAAUUUGAAUAUCACUCAUGCAACAAUUUGUUGAGUGCAAAAGAGUUGCUUCUGCCAAGACAGCUUUCAUUUUUGAGUUGCAUGUGUUUCUUUGCAUGUCAGCAGUAUUGUAGAAAAAUAUGGAUGAGUAAACUGAUGGAGUCAUCAAAGAAGUGCCCAUUUCAUUUUCUACUACAUCUGAAUCAUGAAAAGUAAAGAGUUUCUUCUCUAUAAAAGUGGCAAAUGCAUAUUCAACUCACGAACAAGUUGAAAUUAGUUCCAUACAGUUUCUGGACAGUGUUUUUGAGAUCAAACUUCCAUUGUUAGUCCUGGCAUUUGAUUUUUAUACAUGUGUCAAUGAUAAUAAAGUGGUUCUGCUUUUCCAAUUGUUUAUGUAUGCUGAGCUUUUCUGCUAAAGAAGUUGACAAUAAAUACAGGGCUGAGAGGAUUUGGCCUCUGCUGGGCACGAACAUGCUGACACAACUUGAUUGUUUUUGGAUUGUGUCCAGAAAUCGGUGGUGGUGGCUCUUGCAUUUUGACAAGACUAGAUUUAAAGUCUUGGUGGAAGUCUGCACUUCCAGAGUCACCCCAUAGUUUUGAGUGUUUUAGAGUGACUAGGCCAGCUUUUACGGGCCAACACAUAUUUGAGGAAUCAUUUUGAACAGCUUCAUGAACACAGGACUUAAGAAUAAAAAAAAAUAAAAAACUUUUUCCAGCUACAGAGCAUUUCAAAGAGUUGGAGCUGCAUGUGAUCUGCAGUCAUAAAAGAGACUCAUUACUGCCAUAAGAUUCGGACAAGAAGAGGACAGUGUUUCAGUAUUUAAGAAGAGAGCAGCUUUUUGAGGAAAGUCAACUCCAGGUUGUUAUACAUGAGGAGAUUUGCAGCACUAACAGCAUGACUUUACUACUUCCUUUGGAGGGGACUAUGAAGCAUUUUGAACGUAUCAUCAGAACAGAUGGGAGUUCAAAAAGCACAAUGAUUGCAAGCAGUGACUUCUGGAUUACAGUCAAAAGUCAUUAUUAAAACAAGAGAGAAAAAAAAGUUUUUAUUUUAUUUCCACCUUUAUCAUUUUUCAACCACCAAAUCUAGUAUAAUCUUUUAUCAUGCCUUUUCCAACAUUAUGCACUGUAGCAACCAUGAGUAUGUGAAAUGAUAGUGAAUAUAAAUAUUACAUAUAAAGCAACUAUAGAAUCCUUCAGCAGACAUGUAUCCAUGUAUUAUGAUUACUUGAGUUUUACCUUAUUGAAUAAUUAAAGGGAUAUUCUGGCGUAAAUUUAAGUUAUGGUCAAACACACAGUAACACCGAGUUAGACACCCCAAAGAGAGAUGAAUGUUGCCGACUGCUUGAUUCUCUAGUUAUACCAACUUCAGCAACAACCACACAAUCGCAAUACACAGCGAUCUACAUCUCCGCACACAAACCUCAACCAAAAAGCCACUCUAUAGCCACAAAUAAUGCUCAGAACAGCACCUCAUUAACAGUACAUAUAGGGUCCAAGCCAUAGUACUAGCCAUCAAACAGCUUUUUAGCUUUGCCUGGUUUCUUUAGCAAAGAGACCAAACACAACUCACCUACUCUCCUCCAGCAGCUGCUUGUUUGUGGGGGAGCCCUGACGAGUCAAUCAUCGAGUGCAGCGGAUCAUGUCUAUGAAGUAAAAAUCAUCAUCUUCUGCCUUAGCGUCUCAGUCUGAUUGCAUUUCCAUGAAGUAAUAAUCAUAAAUUUUCCACUGCACUCGGUGAUCGAAUUGUCAGGGCUCCAGGAAUAUCUGUUUAACUAAAGUUGUUUCACC